rnacentral:pre_miRNA from 1 species
UAAAAGGAACUACGAAACUGGUUUUCAUAAUGAUUUGACAGAUUGUUUUGUAUUCUGAGAUCAUUGUGAAAGCUAAUUUUGUUCCUGGUA